UCAUCUUUGUCUGCAUUGUGCUGAUAAAGAGUAAAAAGUAUUUAAAUCAGUCAGAAUUCUACAUUAAGCGGAUAUUUGACCGCUUAUUGGAAUAUUUGAACUACUCUAUUAGUCACAUGUUCAUACUCGAUGAAACAUAGUAAAUCGAUAUAAACGCCUGCGUGUAUGUACAUAAUUUAGCAUUAAUGCGGUAGUCGCUUAGUUCUAACUCAUGUUGUAAGCGUUAUUUUGCUAGAUUGUUUCAGUUGUUAACGUAUAACUUAGAUGGGCAUUUCAUUCGGGCGACUGUUGAGCGUGCUGUAGGUGAUGUUUCUGUACAAGUACAGACGAGAACACUGCCAAUUAAUGAAAAAACAAAUUAACAAACAAUGAUUUCAAUGUAAAUACAAUGAUAUGCUUGAUGUAAAUCAACAAGCAACCAGGCGGUGUGUAAUACAGUAUAGAGCACAUGCGCACUAAGCCCAUGUCACGUGACGAUGGUCAAGAGGAUGCACGCGAUGAUAAAUACUGUGACUGUUUUACAAGUGUUUAAUUAACCGCAUCACAUGCUUGGGUUUAAGUCUACUUUUUCACAUGAUAGCCAUUUAAUUCAGACGACUAUUGCUGAGCAUGCUGUAGUAGGUGAUACCACUGUACAGGUUUUUACAAGAGCUCAUUAAACAGCAUCAAAUGCUUGGAUUUUAGUCUACUUUUUCACGUGGUUUUACAAGAGCAAUAAACAGCAUCCCAUGCUUGGGUUUUAGUCUACUUUUUUCAUGUGGUUAUUUGAAUGUGGCCUUGUAAAGAAUGUGGAGCAUUAGAGUCUAGCAGGUACAAAUUGUUAAGACAUUAUAAGUUAUGUCAUGGUCAUUAUGGUAAAAAUCAACGAUAUCCAUGUUCUUAUGCAAGUUGCCCAUGUACUUUCCGAACAUGGAGUAGCCUUAAAAGUCAUGUAUACCGUGCCCACACAUUAUCAGCACAGACAUCAUCAGGAUUAGCGACAUUCAGCUGUCAGUUGUGCGAUUGUGCUGAGCUUUCUUCAGAGAAAGAUUAUUUUGUACAUAUUGGGACACAUCUUAGAAAUGGUCAGACUUGUAGUUGCAUGUUUCUGGGCUGUAGCUUUCAGACCAACAUUUAUGGUACUUUCUAUUCUCACAAGAAUAGAAAACACAAACAACAUGAGUUAAAAGACUUCAAACCAGGUGUUGUGACAAUUCAUAAUAGACCUGGGACAUCUUUGGAGAGUUCUGAAGAAAACAGGCCAUUCUGCUCUACUGAUGAAACCGAAGCUGAUUUAGACAUUCAAUCAGAUGACGACAGUGAAAUAGUUUCUGUUGAGAGCCUGCCAAAAGUAAUUAAGCAAAAAGUAGGGUGUCUGCUACUGAAGUUAGAAAACAUUCUACAUGUACCUGCUGCAGCAGUAGAUGAAUUGGUGGAUGAACUACACUUUUUGUUGAAAUCUGCUUCUGUACCACUUGUACAAGCUACCAUCUUAGAUGUUUUUAGAAAUCAUGGACUGCCGGUUGACGAGGCUGUGAUAAGAGACCUUGCUUGUGCGGUGUGUGUAUCCAACCCUGUAGGAGAGUGUUUUGGAAAGGAUGGGCUGCUUGCAACAGCCUUCAGAAGAAAAAAGUUCUACAAAGAAAAUUUCUGUGUUAUUGAGCCAGUUGAAUAUAUUUUAGAUGCCAAAGAGAACAGAACAUUUCAAUAUAUUCCAGUGUUACAGUCUUUGCAGCAGUUACUGAGCAAGGAGCACAUUUUCGAUCAGGUGAUUGAGAAUAAAAUUGCACAAGAGAAGACCUCUGUAGCAAGUGGUACUUCUGAUUGUCAUUACUUUAAGUCUUUUCAAGAUGGACUGUUCUACAGUCAGGGAGAUUUUUGGUCUCAAGAGGAGUUAAGAAUCUCUUUAACUCUAUAUUUAGAUGACUUCGAAAUUUGUAACCCGCUUGGAACCUCCCGCAAAAAACAUAAACUCUGUGGAGUUUACUGGAUACUAAGUAGUCUCCCCCCUGGCUCUAAUUCAGCACUUAAUUCAAUAUACUUGGCAGUACUUUGCAAGACAGACGAUAUUAAGACAUUUGGAUUUGAAAAAGUGCUUGAACCCUUUCUGCAUGAUCUGCAUAUUUUUGAGGAACAAGGUGUGUACAUUUCUCAUAUUGGUGAGUUUGUAAAGGGCACGGUUCAGUGUGUUGUCGCUGAUAAUCUAGCUGCACAUGGAUUAGGUGGGUUUGUUGAAAGUUUUUCAGCAGGCUUCAUAUGCAGAUUUUGUACAGCGCAGAAACAUGAGAUCCAAACCCAUAGUGUUUCAUCUGGUGCUUUCAGGCUUCGUACAAAGGAAUGUCAUGAAGAACAUGUGAAGUGUGCAGGUGAAACCUCUACUCAUUGUUUUGGGGUGAAGGGGCCUUGUGUCCUAACCCAGCACCUUUCACAUUUCCAAGUCACAAAAGGAUAUCCUCCUGAUAUCGUGCAUGAUAUCUUUGAAGGUGUUGUGCCAGUAGAGCUGGCUUGUUGCCUCUCUGUAUUAAUUUCAAAUAAAUAUUUUUCACUGGAUUUUCUGAACCAGUUGAUUCUGAACUUUCCGUACAAGUGGGGUGACAAAACGAAUAAGCCUCAUGUCAUACCACGCACAUUCUCGACCAGGAAAACCAUAGGCGGCAAUGCCCAUGAAAAUUGGAAUUUGCUGAGGUUAUUGCCAUUUAUGAUUGGCUCCCUAGUGCCAGAGGAUGAACCUGCUUGGUUGUUGAUCUUGGACUUAAAAGACAUUGUUGAGCUUGUGGUAGCUCCAGUGCAUUCUGAUGAGACUGUAGCAUUCCUUGAGUUUAAGAUUUGUGAGCACAGACAUCGCUACCAAGACCUUUUUCCAAGUGCUCAUUUGCUACCAAAGCACCACUUUUUGGAGCACUACCCGCAUAUGAUACAAUGCUUUGGGCCACUUGUAUGUAUGUGGACAAUGAGAUUCGAAUCAAAGCAUAGCUUCUUUAAACAGAUUGCUCGUCACACCAACUGUUUUAAAAACAUAGCUCUCACACUAUCGGCAAAGCACCAGCUAAUGAUUGCUUUUCAUUUGCAUUCCUCUUGCCUUAAGAAGCCAUUAUUUGAAGUAACAAAUGUUUCAUUGAUUCCAGUUGGUGUGUUGAACAAGGAAAUAGCUUGCACCAUCAAACAGAGAUACCCAGAUGUAAUGGAAGUUAGUCUAGCCAAGUCUGUUAAUGCAAAUGGAAUAAGUUACAAAACAGGAAUGAUUCUUGCUCAUGGAUCACUCGCAGGCCUCCCUGAAUUUGUGGAAAUAAUGCAAAUUUGCAUUUUUCGAGACAAGUUGAGUUUCAUUUGCAAGAAGUUGUGUUGCUGGUACAGAGAGCAUUUUAGAGCAUUUGAAGUAAAUGCAUCACAUCUGAGAGAGUUGGUCAUUGUCGAGCAUGCUGAACUGUUAGAUGACUAUCCACUGGUGUGCUACUUGAUUGGGGCUGUCCAGAUGCUGACUUUGAAGAGAUACAUUCACAUAGCAGCAUAAUAUAUGUGAAGUUACUUGUUCCUGCUUGCAGAGGCUUGAGUAGGAUGUGACUUUCAAAGGCUGUACACUACAAGAUAAUUUUGAGAACUGAUAAAUAGAGCAAUGGCUCGACCAGUGAAACUUAGAGUAAUCUUAGCUGAUGAUGAUGCCAGGAAGUUGAUCCUGCCUGAAGGGCUUCCUAGUUCUACUGAGGACCUUGCACAAAAAAUCACUGAAAUGUUCCAGCUUGAUGGGGAUAUCCGCUUGCAAUAUCAAGACGACGAUUUUGGUGGCGAGUUUGUGAAUUUAACAACAAUAACUGAUGUUCAAGAUAAAGGAACCUUAAAGGUCAUCUUCAAGACUACAGGACAAAACCAGACUGCAGCAUCAACUCCUGCUUGCUUAAUGCUGUGCCAGGCAGAUGACUCUGCAUCUGUCUCUUCGUUUGAAACUGACGACACGGUUCUUCUUUCUUCUCCUGAUGGGUCAGUGCAAUCCACAUCAAGAUCUGCUCCAUGGCCACUUGUAUUCCCAAUUCCACGCUUCUCCUAUGACUCUGAAAUAAUUCUACAGCAAGCUAAUGCUGAAUUCCAUGAAAACAGAACUCGUCUCAGUCCGUCUCCAAAGCUGAAGUCACACAUUCUAGAAGUCCUAGCUGAGGAAAUCAUAAAAUACAAAGCAUAUCCAACUGAUCUAGACCUUAACACAGUGGCAGAAGCAUUAAUUAAUAAACACCCUUGCUUGCGAGAACAAGGCUCCUACAAUGGUUGCUAUGGGUGGAAAAUAAGUCUCAAAUAUAAGAUGGCAAACUUUCGUACUAAGCUCAGAAGUGUUGGGUGUUCAGAAGUAAGCAUAAACUCAAUGAAGAACAAACGCCAAGAUCAGUACCAUGCUGCUUCAAACAUCAAAAAGCCUAGAAGAGCCGAAGUAAAUUACUGCCCUCAACAUCCAAAGGGAGAAACGUCUGAAAGUUUAGAGAGGGAACGAGUCGAUCUUUUGGCUGCGAUUAAGAAGAGAAACAAUGACAAAGUAGUCAAAGAGAAGAUGGAGCGAACCUUUUCUUACAGAAGACAGGAAGUGGUCCAGGAGAAGCCGAUGAUAGCGGAGUUCAAAAGUCGAUGGCCAGCUCUUUUUAAUGUUGAUGAAAUAAAUACUGAGUUCAUGCGCAUCACCACUGUCCCAUUGGAGUUUAAGUUUCUUGCUAUGCUUGACCAGUAUUCGGACAGCUUGAUGAAGUUGUUUCAGAGUAAGGGUGGAGUCACUGGCAGAACAAUAAAAAACAUCAUGCAACCCAUUUCACAGAAUAACAGCAUAGACAUGCGAAGAGAAUGCAUUCUCAAAGCACUGUGUGUAUACUUAAAUGAGGACCAUGCACAGCUGUUCAAGGAGUACAAUGAUUGUGACUGGGUGAAUGCCAAAGAAGCCAUAGCGCAGAUGGUAAUGGGGAUCUACAUCGUCCGAUCCGAAGGACACCAACCAGGGGAUAAGCCUGUGGACGUUGGUAUCGUGAUUGAAGGGACUGAGGUUCUCUGCUCUUUGAAGAAUGUAGCUGUAUCAGUGGCCAUGCUGUUUGGACUUACUUAUGCCUUGAACCUCAGCUACCCACGAGAACUCAAAGCUACAUUUGAGGUCAUCCAGAAAGUGUUCUUUAACUUGGAUGGACAAAAACUUUCACCGAAGGUACAAGCCCUCAAGAACAAGAUGCUGGAGUAAGUUACCUUACGUGUGUAGUCUCAAAAGACUAAAUCUUGAUGCAAGAAGGUAGUAGCUGUGGGCUGCCCAUUGCUGUUGCAGUGUGCCCACUGUCUGUUUAGUGUUUGACACGUUUUUGUCAAAACUCUUCAUAUGCAGGGAACUUUAAAACUGCUGUUGGAUCUAAUUGAUCCUGGAAAUCUUUUAAUCUUUGUAUUUUUUUUUUAUUUAUUUUUUUUUCUUGUUUAAGAUAUACUAGCUUUGAAAUUGUAGCUCAACACUAAGCACAUGUU